GGAUCCAGACUUUGAUUCUGGCUCAGGAUGAACGCUAGCUACAGGCUUAACACAUGCAAGUCGAGGGGCAGCAUGACGAUAGCUUGCUAUUGUCGAUGGCGACCGGCGCACGGGUGAGUAACGCGUAUCCAACCUUCCCGUUGCUAGGGGAUAACCUUGCGAAAGUAAGACUAAUACCCUAUGAUGUUCUUCGCAGGCAUCUAAAGAGAACCAAAGAUUUAUCGGCAACGGAUGGGGAUGCGUCUGAUUAGGUUGUUGGCGGGGUAACGGCCCACCAAGCCUACGAUCAGUAGGGGUUCUGAGAGGAAGGUCCCCCACAUUGGAACUGAGACACGGUCCAAACUCCUACGGGAGGCAGCAGUGAGGAAUAUUGGUCAAUGGACGGAAGUCUGAACCAGCCAAGUAGCGUGCAGGACGACGGCCCUAUGGGUUGUAAACUGCUUUUAUGUGGGAAUAAAGUGAGGGACGUGUCCCUUUUUGUAGGUACCACAUGAAUAAGGACCGGCUAAUUCCGUGCCAGCAGCCGCGGUAAUACGGAAGGUCCGGGCGUUAUCCGGAUUUAUUGGGUUUAAAGGGAGCGUAGGCCGGCUUUUAAGCGUGUUGUGAAAUGUAGAUGCUCAACAUCUGCACUGCAGCGCGAACUGGGAGACUUGAGCGCGCGGAAUGCAGGCGGAAUUCGUCGUGUAGCGGUGAAAUGCUUAGAUAUGACGAAGAACUCCGAUUGCGAAGGCAGCUUGCAGUAGCGUAACUGACGCUGAAGCUCGAAAGUGCGGGUAUCGAACAGGAUUAGAUACCCUGGUAGUCCGCACGGUAAACGAUGGAUGCUCGCUGUGUGCCCCUG
rnacentral:rRNA from 2 species